UGAGGAAUAUUGGUCAAUGGGCGGGAGCCUGAACCAGCCAAGUAGCGUGCGGGAUGAAGGCCCUUGUGGUCGUAAACCGCUUUUAUCAGUGAAUAAAGUGCACCACGUGUGGUGUCAUUGCAGGUAGCUGAAGAAAAAGGACCGGCUAAUUCCGUGCCAGCAGCCGCGGUAAUACGGAAGGUCCGGGCGUUAUCCGGAAUUAUUGGGUUUAUAGGGAGCUCANGGGGAGCUCAGGCGGGUUUUAUAAGUCAGCUGUUAAAUAUCAAAGCCCCACUCUGUUAUGGAAUUGAAAACUAUAUUUCUUGAGUACGCACAGGGAUGGCGGAAUUCAGGGUGGAGCGGUGAAAUGCUUAGAUAUCCUGAAGAACUCCGAUCGCGAAGGCAGCCAUCCGGAGCGUAACUGACGCUGAGGCUCGAAGGUGCGGGUAUCGAACAGGAUUAGAUACCCUGGUAGUCCGCACGGUAAACGAUGAAUACUCGCAGUUCGGCCGUUUAUGGUCGAGUUGUCUAGCGAAAGCGUUAAGUAUUCCACCUGGGGAGUACGCCGGCAACGGUG
rnacentral:rRNA from 1 species